CAAAAACUCAUAUUGAUAAACUGAUGUAUUUGUCUUGUUCUUUUUCUUUACAGGUUCCUCGACUGAAGGCGGAAAUUUUUCUUGCGAAUCUAUGAAAGAGUUAUUUGGGGAGAGUGCACACUCCACAACUUCGUAAACUCCUCUACUCUCCUCCACCAAUGUUUCCAAAUUGAAACUUUUAUAGCUGCCGAGAAUGCCAUUAAUUUUAGUAUAAUAUUCCCAAGUGGAAGGGCUGCCACCAGAGGGACCAACAAUUUUCCUAUCAUCUCUGGAAAUAGGUGCGGUGGGAGGUACUUAAUUUGAUGGUGCAGCACUUGCAGUUUCACACUCUGUUGGCUCCAAAAUCUCGAUUUCUAUGAACUCAGCAGGACUCGCGGACACAGCUGAGGGGAAGGCGAUUAAGUGACAUGGAGUGGCUGCAUUGCCGGCAAACGUUUGCCAAAAAUUUACUUUGUUACAACGUUUUCCAUCCGUGAAAGGGCAAGAGAAUCCCCCUAUUAUUUUAUUUUAUCAAACGAUGUAAUAGAUAUAUACAUAGUAUUUUUGCAAAGUUCUGCACCGAUAUCUUCACUUUAUAUAUUGUAAAGUAAACGAUUCAGAUUGUCUUCAAAGUUCUGGUAUAUAGGAAGUAGGCGUGGUUGUGAAGCGAUUUGGCCUAUUUUCACAACAUAUCAUUGGGAUGUAAGGAAACUAUUACAAACCUAGUUUCAUUGAAAUCGGUCGAGUAGUUCUUGAGGUAUGGUUUUUUACCUGUAAGUGGGCGACGCCACGCCCAUUUUCCAUUUUGUAAAAAAAUCUGAGUGCAGCUUUCAUCUGCCAUUUCUUAUGUGAAAUUUAGUGUCUCUGACGUUUUUCUUUAGUGAGUUAACCCACUUUUAGUAAUUUUCAACCUAACUUUUGUAUGGGAGGUGGGCGUGGUUAUGAUCCGAUUUAUUUCAUUUUUGGACUGUAUUAGGAAGUGGCUAAAAAAACGACUGCUGAAAGUUUGGUUUAUAUGGCUCUAUUGGUUUGCGAGAUAUGUACAAAAAACUUAGUAGGGGGCGGGGCCACGCCCACUUCCCCAAAAAAAUUACAUCCAAAUAUGCCCCUUCAUAGUGCAAUCCUUCAUACCAAAUUUCAUUUCCAUAGCUUUAUUUAUGGCUUAAUUAUGGCACUUUAUGUGUUUUCGGUUUUCGCCAUUUUGUGGGCGUGGCAGUGGUCCAAUUUUUCCCAUUUUCGAAAGCAACCCUCUCACGGUCCCAAGGAACAUGUGUUCCAAGUUUCAUCAAGAUAUCUAAAUUUUUACUCAAGUUAUCCGUUGCACGGACGGACAGACGGCCAGACAGACAUUCGGAUUUGAACUCCACUCUUCACCCUGAUCACUUUGGUAUAUAUAACCCUACAUCUAACUCGUUUAGUUUUGGGUGUUACAAACAACCGUUAUGUGAACAAAACUAUAAUACUCUCUUUAGCAACAUUUGUUGCGAGAGUAUAAAAAUUAUUUCGAUACAUGAAUUCAGAUGAAGUUCUCGAAUUUUAAAUAAAAAUCGUAACAGUAGAACAGUUUAAUAAAAUCAUUUAAAAAAAUCCUAAUAGCGAAAAAUAAACAAGUUAUGAAAUUAAUAAUUAUUGAAAACAAGUAAGGAAAGGCUAAGUUCGGGUGCAACCGAACUUUUUAUACUCUCGCAAUUUAUUAAUGCAAUUUUAUGAAGAUAACACAAUUCGACCCAUAAAUUCGGCAUAAAGUUUAGUAGAAUAACGAAAAUCAUCAUAAAUAGUAUAUGGGACUUAGGUAAUUCCUGUACAGGGGGAAGUUAUGACCCGAUUUCAACCAUUUUUGGUACCGAGACAAACUAUUAUAAGAAAAAAAUUCAGAGGGAAUGAAUUACAUUAAAAUAUCUGAGAGAUUUACCUAUAUUUUCGGUGAAAAAUUACCCUUAGGCCUUGAAAAGUCAUGGUCCGAUUUUGACAAUUUUUCCACAAGUGAUGUCACAGCUCAAAUACAGUAUUUGUGUAAAGUUUUAUGCUGCUAUCUUUAUUGGUUCAUAAUGUAUAUAUUAUAAAGUGAACGAAUCAGAAGAAUUCCAAAUUGAGUUAUAUGGGAAGUAGGCGUGCUUGUGAACCGAUUUCUACCAUAUUCCACCCGUGUCAUAUUAUAUGAAAAUAUUACAUACCGAAUUUCAUUGAAAUCGGUCCAGUAGUUCUUGAGAUAUGGUUUCAGACCCAUAGGUGCGUGACGCCACGCCCAUUUUCCAUUUUGUAAAAAAAGCUCAGUGCAGCUUCUUUCUGAUAUUUCUUCUGCAAUAUUUAGUGUUUCUGACGUUUUUCGUUAGUGAGUUAACUCACUUUUAGUAAUUUUCAACAUAACCUUCGUAUGGGAGGUGGGCGUGGUUAUUAUCCGAUUUCUUUCAUUUUUUGACUGCAUAAGGAAAUGGCUAAAAGAAACGACUGCAGAAAGUUUGGUUUAUACAGGGUUUUUGGUUUGCAAGAUAUAUACAAAAAACCUAUUUGUAGGCGGGAUCAUGCCCACUUUUCAAAAGAAAAUUGCAUCCGAAUGUGCCCCUUCCUAAUGCGAUCAUGUGUUCCAAAUUUUAUUUCCAUAACUUUAAUUAUGGCUAAGUUAUGACACUGUAUAGGUUUUCGGUUUUCGCCAUUUUGUGGGCGUGGCAGUGAUCCGAUUUUGCCAUCUUCGAAAGCAACCUCCUCAGGGUGCCAAGGAAUAUGUGUUCUAAGUUUCCUUAAGAUAUCUUUAUUUUUACUCAAGUUAUUGUUUGCACGGACAGACGGACGGACAGACAUCCGGAUUUCAACUCCACUCGUCAUCCUGAUCAUUUAUAUAUAUGGGGCAUUCUCUGGAAAAAAAGCCACUUGAAAAAAAGUUCUUUAUUUACUUUGGCAAUUAUAUAUCUUAUAGUACAUGCAAAACCUAAAAUAAAACAUAUGGUUUUAGGUCUGUGUAACGCGGGGUUGCCAUAUUAUAAGGGGCCAAAGUUUUUUGUAAACAAAUUUUCGAACCGCCAUAACUUUAAAACUAUUGAACAGAUUUUAAAACACCAUGUGACUUUUUUGUACAGAAUUUCUCAAACUUUGAAACUGUAUAUCGUAAAAAUUUUUAAAAUUAAUAUUUCAUAGCAAAAAAUGAAAAAAAAUUUUUUUGGAAUUUUUAACAACUUAUGCCCCCUUCGAUUUUUUUCGAAAAUAUCUUAAAAUGUUCCUUAUUUCAUCACCUUUUUACCCCCCAAAGGGAAUUUUGGGACAGCAAUAUUUGUAUGAGCUACAAAUAAAAAACCAACUCAGAACAUAAUGAAAAAUCAUUGAUUUAUGCGCUAUUAUUAUCAGAAUUUAGCGUAACCCAGGAUGAACAACGUGGACGUAGCAGAC